AAAAAAAAAAAAAACACACUAAAACAAAACAAAAAUAUCCAAAUUCCAAUAAAAUGGCUAAGGACUCUUUUUAAAUAGUUCAUCGAAAUUCGCUUGCACUCUGGGGGACAAUAUAAUACUAUACAUACAAAUGUGGUUCUUCCCCUAAAACGUCAUGGUAACGUUCACACUCAUACACUAAAUUAUGUAUAUUUUUAUGUUAAGUGUUCUUGUAAGUCUUAGCCUCAUAUUGGAAUUGGGAUGGAUAAUGACACAACUCGACCACACAAUUUACUAAAGAAACUACUCUGCAUGAUAAUUCUGCUGCUACUCAAAAGGCUACUCGCCAAAAUAAAAUGGAUUAUAUAUACCCAUUAUACCUUGCCUUACGACAGUCAUAAAUACCUUGCCUGAGGAUAAUACAUUGAAUAAUACAUUUAUAUACAUACAUUACAUACAUUAUAAGACUUUGCCAGAAAGAUUGGAUAGUGUUAAUUGUUGUUUACUGAAUAUACGCUGGAUUGCUAGAAAGAAAAACAAA